ACUGCCCGCGCUCUUCUCUCUCUUUCCUCCGACCGCUCCCCCAUUCCUCACAAACCCUAAAUCCUGGUUCGACGUUCUUCUUCUCGAUCUUUGGUUGGGCAAUCAACUAUUGUUCUUUAUAGUCAAAACUCUUUUCAAGUUUGACUCAAGUCACGGAUAUAAUUGGUUUUAGACGUCUUCAAGAUCAGUGAGUUGAAUUGUUAAAAUUGAGAAUUUCCCUCUUUCACCUCUACUACUUUUUGUCUUUAUUUUUUUGCUAUUCUUGCUCUUUAUUGCAUUGCUUAUAUCUUAUGUUCGGUUUGCUCUUUUGCUGCUUCUAAAUUUUUUGUUGCCUUUGGCCUCCUUAUGCUCUGAUUUCGAGUUAUGAUGUUUCAAAACUCUUAUUUAGAGGUUUAGAUGGUCACUCAUUCCGAGUCUUAGUUUUUUAUUAGGAAUAGUAGUAGUGAUACUUGGCUGUUUUUUGAAAAGUUGAUUGUUUCUAAUAUAUGAUAUUGAUAUCGGUCUUACGUUUCCCAUGGCCUAAGCCGUUGAACGCAAUAGUUGGUUGUACUCCAAACUUACCUCGACAUGCCAGCAGGUCGGUUCAUGGCUUUCCAUGACAUUUGAAUUGCUAUCCUCUCUUUUUAAUCAUUUCAAAUCAUUAUGGUUAAUUUUGUGAUUUCUAAGCUGGGUGUUAACUAUUGGUAUUUAUACUCACAAGUCAUCUCAAAAUAUACUUCUGGACACGCCAAGGACGAGGAGGAAGGGCCAAUGUAUCCAGAAGUAGAACUUAGUUCGGCUCCGAUGUGGAGAAGAUUCUAACUGCCGAUGGAAUGUAGAAACUUACGUAUGGAUGCCAUGACAGCAGGGCACACUUCCUAAUACUCCCUUUAUAAAAGUUCAAGUUCCUCCCACAUUUUCAAAGGUAGAUAAUCUCUUGCAUUUACUUAAUUAAGCUCGGCUCACCACAAGCUCGAACUAAAAUGUACUAACUUGCGUUUCGGAGUUUUAUGUGGCUGAGUACCACAUCGGUGCAAGGUUUUUUUGUAGGUUGCCACUUAAGUCCACGUCAAAGUCCAUAUUAGAUUGCCUACUGACGUGCUACAUCAGCCAGAACUGCGCAUCAACACAGCUGGUAUUUAUUGUCUUUCAUUCUCCCUCGUUCCUCAAUAAUCUAAAAUUUUUAUCUCAUAUUUGAUUUAGCUAUUCAUUAUUAACUUUCAACUUUUUCACUAUUUUACGUGGGAUCUAUUAGUACAUUUUUCAUUUUUAUACAUGAGAUUAAUUAUUUCUCUUGAAGUAUUCAUUUGUAGUUACUUUAGACCUGGGUUAGUUUGAAAUUUCCAUUUCCUUGGAAAUUAUUAGGGAAUAUACAGGUUAAUAUAAUAAUUUCUUAGGAAGGAAAAAUUGGGGCAUUCUGCUUGAAGUUAAGCUUUUAAUUUGGGCUUUAUCAUUGGUUAUAUUGAUAUGUUGAUUGCCCUAAUAUAAUUGUUGUCUUGAAAUGUCAAUUCUACGAUGCAAUAUUUUUCAUGAAAAUAUUAGUUACCUUAACAUAAUGAUUGUCUUGUAUUUGUUGCCUUAACAUAAUAGUUUCUUGAUGUAAUAGUUGUAUUUAAAUAUUGAUUUCCUCUUGAUGUCAUGACCAUAUUGAAAUAUUGAUUGCUUGGAUAUAAUGCUGCCUAGAAAUAUCGGUUGCUUUGAUAUAAUAGUCUCCUCAAGAUAUCGAUUAUUUUGAGUUAGCUCGUGCUUCCCAAUAGUAUAUGACUUGAUUUAAUACAUGAUAUAUCGGUCGCCUUGAGAUAACAAUUGCUUUUUAUAUAUUGUUUGUUAAACUUAUCGGGGUUGGCUUGUAAUGGUUAUUUCGAUAUAACAAUUGUUAACCAUAAAAGCUAUAUAGCCUCCCCUGUGUUGAGAUAACAAUUGCUUUUAACGAUUGUUAUUUUGAUAUAGCCUCUUCGGGGAGCUAAGCUCCGACUCCCAGUCAUAAAACGAAAAAAAUAUAGCCUCUUUGCUUCUACUUCUCUUCCUAUUCUCUCAGUCUCAGGUGCUUUUUUUUUUUUUUUUGCAUUGCCUAUAUCUUCUGUGUUGGGUCUCUUUUUCUUUGGGUUUGCUCUCUUGCUGCUUUCUAUUAUUUUUGCUGUCUCUUUUGAACUCUUCUUUAGAGAUGUUGAUGGUCGUUGAUUUUGGGUCAUAGGUUUUCAUUUGAUACUUGGCUGUUUUUAUAAGAAUUGGUUGUUUUCGGUAUAUGAUAUUGAUAUCGGUCUUAUGUUUUCUCAUCAUCCGAGCCUUUGAAACCUUGCCUUGAUGCUACAUUUCAUACCUUAUUUUAUGUUAUUGAGGAUCUGUUUGGUAACAUUAAGCAUUUUUUGCUUCUUGUUUAUCCAAAAUAUUAGA